GGUGAAUAGUAUUGGAUUAUUUUUUAAGCGGUAGGAUGGCGCAGUGUGUGACGUUUUAACAAUGCAUCACUAUUCUUCCCCGAUUCAUACUUAAAAGUGUAAGCAGAGCAAGCUUACAAACAUAUUCACUUGUCCCUACACAUAUCCGAAAUGGAACAAUCUACCAAAGUAAUUAAAUCGCCACAUACUAUUUGGCAGAAUUGAAUACUGGCUUGCGACCUAUUGCAAUCCCAUUUGUCGCAACUUAUAACAGGUAGAAGCACAGUGGGAGUAUUCUGUUCCCUUAUUAUAUAAUUAUUAAACUAAUAAUUAAACUAUACAUUUUUAAAUAUUAAAGUGUUU